AUUGAACGCUGGCGGCAGGCUUAACACAUGCAAGUCGAGCGCGAAAGAUCCUUCGGGAUUGAGUAGAGCGGCGGACGGGUGAGUAACGCGUAGGAAUCUACCCAGUAGUGGGGGACAACCCGGGGAAACUCGGGCUAAUACCGCAUAAGCCCCAUGGGGGAAAGGUGGCCUCUUCUUGAAAGCUACUGCUAUUGGAUGAGCCUGCGUCGGAUUAGCUAGUUGGUGGGGUAAAAGCCUACCAAGGCGACGAUCCGUAGCUGGUCUGAGAGGAUGAUCAGCCACACUGGAACUGAGACACGGUCCAG
rnacentral:rRNA from 1 species